ensembl:lncRNA
AUGAACUUGUGAAACUUUAGGAAAGUUUUAGUAUGCAUGAAAUCAUUGGUUUGAAUUGAACGUUUGUGGAAAUUUAACCAACAAGCUGAAUUUUGGAUCUAGAUCAGCAGAGGCUGAAACAAGGCAGCACACACAGAGCCAGGGCGAAGAUCACAUAUGGUAUGAGAUUUCGUCAGAAAUUUGUGGGGCGCAUGGAUCGUCCUGGUCAUCAAAAUGAGGAAGUCGUGCCUUUGGAGCACACAGAGUGACUUUGACUUCAUCCAGGAGGAGAACAAGGCUGAGUGAACAGUGCCACCCAGAUUGCCUGACUAUUGGAGUGAAAAUUAUAGAUGACUUCAUGGCUUUACUAUAACUGACUAUUGAUUUUAGAAAAAGAUGAUGAUUUUGGCUAUCAGAAACAUGUUUUCUGAGUACUUCUUCCAGCACUGUGAUGGAUUUACAUUAUACCACCCACUCUUUCUCUGAUUCCUUUUUUGAAAAAUAGGAUGCUCAUCACAACAGUAAAGUGAAAGGAGGAAGUGAUGCAACAGUGCCAUUGUUCCAAAGUAGAAGGAAAAGCUGAACAGAAGGCUCUCUCUCCAGAAAGAUUUCACGUGAUGUAACUCCAGCCGCUUUUCAGGUCCUGGGGAUUCCACAUGUUUACUGGACGGUUCUCGAUGUUGACCAUUCUGAGUUACUAUUCCCUGGUACAUAAUAUAUCCUCUCAUGUUUGUUUACCAAGAAGAACGACAAUAGCCAAAGGGUCCUUCUUUUAACCCUAAACCACAGCAAACAUUGUCUCCAGAAGGGCCUCGGUUAUCUAAGGAGCCUUGGGCUACCAUGAAAUGUGCAGAGGAAACAAUUCACCCCUGUUCACCCAUGUUCGCUAUCACCACCUCGUGCGUGGCUUAGGAUGGCGGGGUGGAGUCUUUCCUAAUCAUGCAACACUCUGUGCCCCUGACAGAAGAAUCUCAGGGGAGUGUCCACCAAGGUCUACCAUGACAAGUCUUCCAGGAAGGGCAAUGUGGUUCAGACCAAAGAGCACCAGAGUGGAAGGACAGAGGACAAUGUGCCUGUCAUAGCUCUUCUGCUGGUCAUAUGAUCAUGCAUGGAUCUCCUUUCACAUAGAAUGGUGGUAACAUGUAUUCCCUGGUGAGAGCAAAGGGCAAUCAAUGUGUGGCAUAAGUUAGGCCAGUGAUAUGUAAGUGGUGUUGCAGUCUGUAGUAUGCUGGGCAAGUGUAAGUUAUCACUCAGAUUUGAUUCCGAGGAGGCCCUGCCCGACCUGCCAAGUCCCUCCAAGCUGCCUGGAUCAGGGCCUGGUAUCUCGUCCAGAUCGGAACAGUCGGAGUCCAGUAGGAAUAGUAGGGACAGAGUAACCCUCAGAGCUUGUGUUUUCCAUUCCGACAGCUCAUUUAUCCCACCGUAUCUGUUUCUCCCUGUGCCUCGAAGCCAGCACCCCAGGGACGUGACCCAGUUGCCUUGCCGCCCACAGAGCUUCCUUCCCAGAGCCUUCCUCCCCACCCCGAAGGACACAGGAGAGCAACUUGCUCCCCCGUGCUCAUGCCCCCACGGCUCAUUGUCCACAGGCCACACCGCAGUGUGCUCUUCACCACAGGACUUUGUCCCUGUUGCCUCUUAAUCCCACGUCCAGGUCUUGGAGCCAUCAGUAUAAUUUCCCUGUCAUUAGCAAUGUGCUCACGAUGUACUUUCCUCACUAUGACUCAGAAUGACUUCAGGUCCUUCGAACAAUUGAAGUCCUUUGUAGACUAAGAGUUGGUGUUGAUAAUGUCCAAAUGGAUUGGGUCAAUUUUCCGUCCUCAGACAGGCCCUAACCAGGAAACAGAAUUGCAGGGAAAUGGAAACCAGAUUCAAAAAGAUACAUGAAGAUGAAAUCCGGGUAUGGAGAACACAGCUUUCCAGGAAGGGCUGAAACAACUAGAAUUAUUUUGGCUUGAGGGUGAAGUACACAAAAUGCAGGCUGGCUCUUUCCUGUCGCCACCAAAGAGGGAAACAACAGAAAGGUCUUCAGAUAGGGCAAGAAGGAUUUAGGUGACAUUUAAAGAAGAAUUUCUUAGUAAUGUGCAUUGUUAAAUAUUGGAAGAAUUUACAAAGGAAAUCUGUAAAAUUCCUUUCUGUACCAAUCUUUCCAUAGAAGGG